UUAAGCGACUAAGCGUACACGGUGGAUGCCCUGGCAGUCAGAGGCGAUGAAGGACGUGCUAAUCUGCGAUAAGCGUCGGUAAGGUGAUAUGAACCGUUAUAACCGGCGAUUUCCGAAUGGGGAAACCCAGUGUGUUUCGACACACUAUCAUUAACUGAAUCCAUAGGUUAAUGAGGCGAACCGGGGGAACUGAAACAUCUAAGUACCCCGAGGAAAAGAAAUCAACCGAGAUUCCCCCAGUAGCGGCGAGCGAACGGGGAGCAGCCCAGAGCCUGAAUCAGUGUGUGUGUUAGUGGAAGCGUCUGGAAAGGCGUGCGAUACAGGGUGACAGCCCCGUACACAAAAAUGCACAUGCUGUGAGCUCGAUGAGUAGGGCGGGACACGUGGUAUCCUGUCUGAAUAUGGGGGGACCAUCCUCCAAGGCUAAAUACUCCUGACUGACCGAUAGUGAACCAGUACCGUGAGGGAAAGGCGAAAAGAACCCCGGCGAGGGGAGUGAAAAAGAACCUGAAACCGUGUACGUACAAGCAGUGGGAGCACGCUUAGGCGUGUGACUGCGUACCUUUUGUAUAAUGGGUCAGCGACUUAUAUUCUGUAGCAAGGUUAACCGAAUAGGGGAGCCGAAGGGAAACCGAGUCUUAACUGGGCGUUAAGUUGCAGGAUAUAGACCCGAAACCCGGUGAUCUAGCCAUGGGCAGGUUGAAGGUUGGGUAACACUAACUGGAGGACCGAACCGACUAAUGUUGAAAAAUUAGCGGAUGACUUGUGGCUGGGGGUGAAAGGCCAAUCAAACCGGGAGAUAGCUGGUUCUCCCCGAAAGCUAUUUAGGUAGCGCCUCGUGAAUUCAUCUCCGGGGGUAGAGCACUGUUUCGGCAAGGGGGUCAUCCCGACUUACCAACCCGAUGCAAACUGCGAAUACCGGAGAAUGUUAUCACGGGAGACACACGGCGGGUGCUAACGUCCGUCGUGAAGAGGGAAACAACCCAGACCGCCAGCUAAGGUCCCAAAGUCAUGGUUAAGUGGGAAACGAUGUGGGAAGGCCCAGACAGCCAGGAUGUUGGCUUAGAAGCAGCCAUCAUUUAAAGAAAGCGUAAUAGCUCACUGGUCGAGUCGGCCUGCGCGGAAGAUGUAACGGGGCUAAACCAUGCACCGAAGCUGCGGCAGCGACACUAUGUGUUGUUGGGUAGGGGAGCGUUCUGUAAGCCUGUGAAGGUGUGCUGUGAGGCAUGCUGGAGGUAUCAGAAGUGCGAAUGCUGACAUAAGUAACGAUAAAGCGGGUGAAAAGCCCGCUCGCCGGAAGACCAAGGGUUCCUGUCCAACGUUAAUCGGGGCAGGGUGAGUCGACCCCUAAGGCGAGGCCGAAAGGCGUAGUCGAUGGGAAACAGGUUAAUAUUCCUGUACUUGGUGUUACUGCGAAGGGGGGACGGAGAAGGCUAUGUUGGCCGGGCGACGGUUGUCCCGGUUUAAGCGUGUAGGCUGGUUUUCCAGGCAAAUCCGGAAAAUCAAGGCUGAGGCGUGAUGACGAGGCACUACGGUGCUGAAGCAACAAAUGCCCUGCUUCCAGGAAAAGCCUCUAAGCAUCAGGUAACAUCAAAUCGUACCCCAAACCGACACAGGUGGUCAGGUAGAGAAUACCAAGGCGCUUGAGAGAACUCGGGUGAAGGAACUAGGCAAAAUGGUGCCGUAACUUCGGGAGAAGGCACGCUGAUAUGUAGGUGAAGCGACUUGCUCGUGGAGCUGAAAUCAGUCGAAGAUACCAGCUGGCUGCAACUGUUUAUUAAAAACACAGCACUGUGCAAACACGAAAGUGGACGUAUACGGUGUGACGCCUGCCCGGUGCCGGAAGGUUAAUUGAUGGGGUUAGCCGCAAGGCGAAGCUCUUGAUCGAAGCCCCGGUAAACGGCGGCCGUAACUAUAACGGUCCUAAGGUAGCGAAAUUCCUUGUCGGGUAAGUUCCGACCUGCACGAAUGGCGUAAUGAUGGCCAGGCUGUCUCCACCCGAGACUCAGUGAAAUUGAACUCGCUGUGAAGAUGCAGUGUACCCGCGGCAAGACGGAAAGACCCCGUGAACCUUUACUAUAGCUUGACACUGAACAUUGAGCCUUGAUGUGUAGGAUAGGUGGGAGGCUUUGAAGUGUGGACGCCAGUCUGCAUGGAGCCGACCUUGAAAUACCACCCUUUAAUGUUUGAUGUUCUAACGUUGACCCGUAAUCCGGGUUGCGGACAGUGUCUGGUGGGUAGUUUGACUGGGGCGGUCUCCUCCUAAAGAGUAACGGAGGAGCACGAAGGUUGGCUAAUCCUGGUCGGACAUCAGGAGGUUAGUGCAAUGGCAUAAGCCAGCUUGACUGCGAGCGUGACGGCGCGAGCAGGUGCGAAAGCAGGUCAUAGUGAUCCGGUGGUUCUGAAUGGAAGGGCCAUCGCUCAACGGAUAAAAGGUACUCCGGGGAUAACAGGCUGAUACCGCCCAAGAGUUCAUAUCGACGGCGGUGUUUGGCACCUCGAUGUCGGCUCAUCACAUCCUGGGGCUGAAGUAGGUCCCAAGGGUAUGGCUGUUCGCCAUUUAAAGUGGUACGCGAGCUGGGUUUAGAACGUCGUGAGACAGUUCGGUCCCUAUCUGCCGUGGGCGCUGGAGAACUGAGGGGGGCUGCUCCUAGUACGAGAGGACCGGAGUGGACGCAUCACUGGUGUUCGGGUUGUCAUGCCAAUGGCACUGCCCGGUAGCUAAAUGCGGAAGAGAUAAGUGCUGAAAGCAUCUAAGCACGAAACUUGCCCCGAGAUGAGUUCUCCCUGACUCCUUGAGAGUCCUGAAGGAACGUUGAAGACGACGACGUUGAUAGGCCGGGUGUGUAAGCGCAGCGAUGCGUUGAGCUAACCGGUACUAAUGAACCGUGAGGCUUAACCUU
rnacentral:rRNA from 2 species